rnacentral:rRNA from 1 species
AUUGAACGCCGGCGGAAUGCUUACACAUGCAAGUCGAACGGUAGAGGGGGCAACCCCUCGAGAGUGGCGAACGGGUGAGUAAUAUAUCGGAACGUGCCCAGUCGUGGGGGAUAACGUAGCGAAAGUUACGCUAAUACCGCAUACGAUCUAAGGAUGAAAGCGGGGGACCGUAAGGCCUCGCGCGAUUGGAGCGGCCGAUAUCAGAUUAGGUAGUUGGUGAGGUAAAGGCUCACCAAGCCAACGAUCUGUAGCUGGUCUGAGAGGACGACCAGCCACACUGGAACUGAGACACGGUCCAGACUCCUACGGGAGGCAGCAGUGGGGAAUUUUGGACAAUGGACGCAAGUCUGAUCCAGCCAUUCCGCGUGCAGGAUGAAGGCCCUCGGGUUGUAAACUGCUUUUGUACGGAACGAAAAGGUCUCUCCUAAUACGAGGGGCUCAUGACGGUACCGUAAGAAUAAGCACCGGCUAACUACGUGCCAGCAGCCGCCGUAA